rnacentral:rRNA from 1 species
AUGCGCCAAGUACAAGAGCUUCUCGACAAAGGUUAUAUACGCGAAUCCCUUAGUCCUUGUGAUGUUCCUAUUAUUCUAGUGCCGAAAAAGGAUGGUACAUCACGUAUGUGUGUUGAUUGUAGAGGCAUUAAUAAUAUUACUAUUCGUUAUCGUCAUCCUAUUCCUAGGCUAGAUGAUAUGCUUGAUGAAUUGAGUGGCUCUACAAUAUUCUCCAAAGUUGAUUUGCGUAGUGGCUACCAUCAAAUUCGUAUGAAAUUGGGAGAUGAAUGGAAAACAGCAUUUAAAACUAAGUUUGGAUUAUAUGAGUGGUUAGUCAUGCCUUUUGGGUUAACUAAUGCACCUAGUACUUUCAUGAGAUUAAUGAACGAAGUUUUACGUGCUUUCAUUGGACGAUUUGUGGUAGUUUACUUUGAUGACAUAUUGAUUUAUAGCAGAUCUUUGGAAGAACAUUUGGAACAUUUACGUGCUGUUUUUAUUGCUCUACGUGAUGCACGUUUGUUUGGUAACCUUGGGAAGUGCACCUUUUGCACCGACCGAGUAUCGUUUCUUGGCUAUGUUGUUACUCCACAGGGAAUUGAAGUUGAUAAAGCCAAGAUUGAAGCUAUUGAGAGUUGGCCGCAGCCCAAAACGGUCACACAAGUGAGGAGUUUUCUUGGCCUCGCUGGAUUCUAUAGGCGUUUUGUGAGAGAUUUCAGCACCAUUGCUGCACCUCUCAAUGAGCUUACAAAGAAAGAUGUGCCUUUUCUUUGGGGUACCGCACAGGAAGAAGCCUUCACGGUAUUGAAAGAUAAGUUGACACAUGCUCCUUUACUCCAACUUCCUGAUUUUAAUAAGACUUUUGAGCUUGAAUGUGAUGCUAGUGGAAUUGGAUUAGGAGGUGUGUUAUUACAAGAUGGCAAACCUGUUGCAUACUUUUUUGAAAAAUUGAGUGGGCCUAGUCUGAAUUAUUCUACUUAUGAUAAAGAAUUAUAUGCUCUUGUUCGGACUUUAGAAACAUGGCAACAUUAUUUAUGGCCCAAAGAAUUUGUUAUACAUUCUGAUCAUGAAUCUUUGAAACAUAUUAAAAGUCAAGCUAAACUGAAUCGCAGACAUGCCAAAUGGGUUGAAUUCAUUGAGACUUUCCCUUAUGUCAUUAAACACAAGAAGGGAAAAGAAAAUGUUAUUGCUGAUGCAUUGUCUCGUCGCUAUACUAUGCUUUCACAACUUGACUUCAAAAUAUUUGGUUUGGAGACCAUCAAAGAUCAAUAUGUGCAUGAUGCUGAUUUUAAAGAUGUAAUGCAGAAUUGUAAAGAAGGAAGAAUGUGGAACAAGUUUAUUGUUAACGAUGGAUUUGUGUUUCGUGCUAACAAGCUAUGCAUUCCAGCUAGCUCCGUUCGUCUUUUGUUGUUGCAGGAGGCGCAUGGAGGGGGAUUAAUGGGACACUUUGGCGUGAAGAAGACGGCGGACGUACUUGCUACACAUUUCUUUUGGCCAAAGAUGAGACGGGAUGUUGAGCGUUUUAUUGCUCGCUGCACUACAUGUCAAAAAGCUAAGUCACGACUCAAUCCACAUGGUUUAUAUAUGCCUUUGCCUGUACCUAGUGUUCCUUGGGAGGAUAUAUCUAUGGACUUUGUUUUAGGUUUACCUCGAACAAAGAAGGGGAGGGAUAGCAUAUUUGUUGUCGUGGAUAGAUUCUCAAAAAUGGCACACUUUAUACCAUGUCAUAAAAGCGAUGAUGCUGUUAAUGUUGCUGAUUUGUUCUUUCGUGAAAUUAUUCGCUUGCAUGGUGUGCCAAAUACUAUUGUUUCAGAUCGUGAUACUAAAUUUCUUAGCCACUUUUGGAGAUGUUUAUGGGCUAAGUUGGGGACUAAACUGCUUUUUAGUACUACUUGUCACCCCCAAACUGAUGGACAAACUGAAGUAGUCAAUAGAACGUUGUCUACUAUGCUUAGGGCUGUUUUGAAGAAUAAUAAGAAAAUGUGGGAGGAAUGCUUGCCUCAUAUUGAAUUUGCUUAUAAUCGUUCAUUGCAUUCUACUACUAAGAUGUGCCCUUUUGAAGUUGUGUAUGGUUUCCUACCUCGUGCACCUAUUGAUUUGUUGCCUCUUCCAUAUUCGGAGAAGGUUAAUUUUGAUGCUAAACAACGUGCUGAAUUGAUUUUAAAAAUGCAUGAGUUAACUAAGGAAAACAUUGAGCGCAUGAAUGCUAAAUAUAAACUUGCUGGAGAUAAGGGUAGAAAACAUGUUGUGUUUGCACCUGGAGAUCUUGUUUGGUUACAUUUGCGUAAGGAUAGAUUUCCUGAUUUGCGCAAAUCAAAGUUAAUGCCACGUGCUGAUGGUCCCUUUAAGGUGUUAGAGAAAAUAAAUGAUAAUGCAUAUAAACUUGAGCUGCCUGCAGAUUUUGGGGUUAGUCCCAGUACUUUCGUUUCUUGUGAUCACGGCCCAAUAGUAUAG